rnacentral:rRNA from 1 species
CCUACGGGUGGCUGCAGUGGGGAAUAUUGGACAAUGGGCGCAAGCCUGAUCCAGCAAUGCCGCGUGUGUGAAGAAGGCCUGCGGGUUGUAAAGCACUUUCAGUGGGGAGGAAGGCCUCGAUAUUAAUACUAUUGAGGAUUGACGUUACCCACAGAAGAAGCACCGGCUAACUCUGUGCCAGCAGCCGCGGUAAUACAGAGGGUGCAAGCGUUAAUCGGAGUUACUGUAGGUAAUGUCUUAGUAGGGGGUUGAAAGCCCCGGGCUCAACCUGGGAAUUGCAUUUGAUACUGAGUAACUGGAGUAUGGUAGAGGGAAGUGGAAUUUCCAGUGUAGCGGUGAAAUGCGUAGAUAUUGGAAGGAACAUCAGUGGCGAAGGCGACUUCCUGGACCAUUACUGACACUGAGGCACGAAAGCGUGGGGAGCGAACAGGAUUAGAUACCCCUGUAGUC